AGCGAACGCUGGCGGCAGGCCUAACACAUGCAAGUCGAACGAACCUUCCGUGGUUAGUUGCGGUCGGGUGAGGCCCACGGGGGAAGGUGCCUUUAGGUACGGAAUACCUCAGUUAAACUUGUGCUAAUACCGAAUGUGCUCUUCUGGGGAAAGAUUAAUCGCCUUUAGAGCGGCCCGGGUCUGAUUAGCUAGUUGGUUGAGGUAAUGGCUCACCAAGGCGACGAUGAGUAGCUGGUCUGAGCCGAUGAUCAGCCACAUUGGGACUGAGACACGGCCCAAAAUCAUACGGGAGGGAGCAGAAGGGUGUCCUGCGCAAUGGGCGAAAGUCUGACACAGCCAUGCGGCGUAAAUGAUGAAGGUCGUAGGAUAGUAACAUUCUUUCAACGGGGACGUGAAUGACGGUACCCGGAAAAGAAGCCCCGGCUAACUUCGUG
rnacentral:rRNA from 1 species